rnacentral:misc_RNA from 1 species
CUGAACGCCUCAAAGUCAGAAA